rnacentral:rRNA from 1 species
GGGGGGACGAGGGUGGACAGGUGGUGCAUGGUUGUCGUCAGCUCGUGUCGUGAGAUGUUGGGUUAAGUCCCGCAACGAGCGCAACCCUCGACCUUAGUUGCCAGCAUUCAGUUGGGCACUCUAAGGUGACUGCCGGCUAAAAGUCGGAGGAAGGUGGGGAUGACGUCAAAUCAUCAUGCCCCUUAUGACCUGGGCUACACACGUGCUACAGUGGGCGGUACAAAGGGUCGCGAACCCGCGAGGGGGAGCCAAUCCCAAAAAGCCGCUCUCAGUUCGGAUUGCAGGCUGCAACUCGCCUGCAUGAAGCCGGAAUCGCUAGUAAUCGCGGAUCAGCAUGCCGCGGUGAAUACGUUCCCGGGCCUU